GACAGAGGUGGCAAGCGUUGUUCGGUAUCACUGGGCUUAAAGCGUGUGUAGGCGGGAACGUAAGCAUUUUGUGAAAUCCCCCGGCUCAACCGGGGCAUGGCUUGAUGGACUGCGUUUCUUGAGGCAAGUAGGGGUGCGAGGAACUCUUGGUGGAGCGGUGGAAUGCGUAGAUAUCAAGAGGAACGCCGGUGGUGAAGACGUUGCACUAGGCUUGUCCUGACGCUGAGACACGAAAGCGUGGGGAGCAAACGGG
rnacentral:rRNA from 1 species